CGUUGCCGCCCGCUCCUAGAAACUAGUGGGAUCCCCCCGGGCUGCAACCCAAUGUGGAAUUCGCCUUUGUUUUUCCGUAGGUGAACCUGCGGAAGGAUCAUUCCCAGUCUUAU
rnacentral:rRNA from 1 species